rnacentral:lncRNA from 1 species
UUGAAUAAAAAGGUAUUUUAUUGAAUGUUUUCUUUAUUCACUGAAAGAAAACCAAUACAAGUAAUUAAGAAUUACUACUAAUUAAAUAAAAUACAUGAAUUACAACUGCUUUAAUACAAAACAUUAAAAUACAAUGAAAUAAAAGGCAAGCAAACUAACUUAAUGGUUUUUAUCAUUUAACCAAUCCGUGUUGCUAGGUCCAUCGUCACGGAAAAGACUUCUUCUCAUAACAUCCCUUCGUUCUAGCUUCCAAAAUUGUUUUGUUUCAGGGGACAUAUGGCUUGUAUCCAUGGCCAUGGUUUCCUGAUCCUUCUUGUCAAUAUUUUCUUUGCGUCCAUACUCCCUUUCUUUUGCAUAUUCUUCUUCAAUUGCCCUCUCGUCUGCUUGGGUGCAUAUGUCUAUUUCAAUUCUCAUGGCGCUGUGUCUUGCAAUUUUUUCCAAAUUUUUUGAUGUAUUAUUACUAGAAUUACUCCAUCUCUU